GCAGCAGGCUGUUCUACCGCUGCUUCGUGAAAACGUAGGAGAGGAAAGUCCGGGCAACGCAGAGCACCAUCCUUCCUAACGGGAAGGUGUCGUGAGGCACAGUAGCGUAACAGAAAAUAACCGUCCCGAUUCGUUGGGAUAAGGGUGAAAAGGUGGGGUAAGAGCCCACCAGUCAGGCCGGUGACGGUCGGAGCUGUACGCCUGAUGGGUUGAAAGACCAUGCAUACCGGCGAUUGAGGACUGCUCGUCCGAGUCGGGGGGUAGGUCGUUAGAGCCCCGGAGUGAUCCUGGGCCUGGAUAAAUGGUAGAAUCCCAACCUGGGAAACAGAAUCCGGCUUACAGGCCUGCUGCUUUU
rnacentral:RNase_P_RNA from 1 species